GCUUUCUUAGUAUAAAAGUAUGUUUGGCUUCCAACCAAAAGGUCUAAGAAUCUCUUAGAGUAAGUA
rnacentral:tRNA from 1 species